rnacentral:lncRNA from 1 species
CGCUUGUGCAAAUGCUGCGACAUCUAUGAGCGCCUCCCCACCCCCAGACCCUCUCUGCGCUGGUAUAUAUAGCCAGAGAAGGGAACCAGACAGUCCUGGCAGUCAAAAUGAGGCUUCUCCUCCCCGUCUGCUGCCUGCUGGCUCUACUGGCACUCACCACUGCAGAUGCAGUGGACUCUGAGACUGAGCAACUUGUGCCACUCAAGCUGAAGUCUGAAGGUCAGCUUUUUAACUGCUGUGACGGCACAGAAGAUAUAAGCCAAAGCACAUCCAAUGACACUCCUGCACCAAACAGACCCAUCUGCCAGCCCUGUGGCACAGGUGCACAGACUGAAGAUGCCAGCUUGGAGGAGGAUGAGGCCACUUCUGAGGAGAAAUCUGAAGAGUUGAGUCAAGAGGAGGCAGCGUCUGAAGAGAAAUUUGAGGAAGAGGCAGGAGCAGAGUUAGAUGCAUCUGAUGAAGUGUUGGAGGAGGAAGUUCUUGAUGUGAAGGAGAUGUCUGAUGUGGAGGCACAACUGGGUGAAGAAUCUCUGGAAGAGGGUGUUGAGGAAGAUUCGCAGAUCAGUGAUGAGUCGGUGGGGGAGGAAGAGGAGGAUCUUCAGACUGAAGAUGAAGCAGGUGAAGUGGAACUUUCUCAGAAUGAAGAACAGGUAAUUGUGGAAGAAGACGUUGAGCAGACUGAAGAAGAGAAAGAGGAGGAUAUUCAGACUGAAGAUGAAGCCUUUCAAACUGAAGACGAGGUAGUUGAGGAAGAGGAAAGUCUGCAAACCGUGGAGGAGGUAGUGGAGGAGGAGGAGGUUCUUCAGACCGAAGAAGAGGUAGUAGAGGAAGAGGAAGCUCUUCAGACUGAAGAGGAGAUAGUUGAGGAGGAAGCUCUUAUGACCAAAGAGGAGGUAGUUGAAGAAGAGGAAGUUCUUCAGACUGAAGAUGAAGCAGGCCAAGGAGAGGAACAUUCCCAGGCUGAUAAAGAGGUAGUUGAAGAAGAGGAGGUUCUUCAGAUUCAAGAUGAGGCAGAUGUAGAAGAGGAGGUUUCUCAGACUGAAGAAGAGGCAGCAGAAGAUUCUCAGAUUGAACAGCCAUUGGAGCAAGUGGAAGAGGUAGCAGAAGAAGAGGACACUUUAACAGAGGAAGAAGGAGCUCCAGAGGUUGUGGAAGAAAGGCAAUUUGUAGAAGAACCAAAAGCAGCUGAAGAGUUGGUGGAAACUGAAGUAGAGGAGCCAGCCACAGAUGUUGUUGAAGAGGUUGUAGAAUUAGCCCAAGAGGUAAAUGAGGAACCAACUCCAGAGCAAACUACUGACCAAGAAGAUGCUCCUGCACCUGCCGAAGAAGCAAAGGUGGAACUAGUGUCAGAGGAUGUGCCAGCAACCAAAGCAUCUGCAAAAGGUAUGUGUCCUUCAGUAGUACUAUUUUAUAUUAAUUUUGUUGGUAUUUGACAACCGAAACAAUAGCUAGGUUUUUAUUCAAAAAUUCUAAUUAGACUUGUGCACAAAACUGGAUUAUCACAUUAAACAUUUGCAAAUGAGCAUUGUUUCAAUUAAAAUGAGCUGAAGAGAACGGAAUCAUCACUUUCUGAUAAACUUCCAUCAAACAUCAAAAAUUGACUUAAAUGAUGCAUAUUGGAUUUUAUGGAGGCACAGGCCUCUCUUUAGGAGUGCCGAUGCUCAAGACAGUUCUGGAGGUAGUAAUUAUGAACCACUUAUUGUACUGUAUCUAUACUGUGUUUGCUUGCUAAAUUGAAAUUAUCUAUCAUGGCAAUUUUGAAUCUGCUGCUAAACCCAUGCGUGGAAAUCUUUUGCCUUCACUCCAAAUUCCCAAAUGCAUAGCUUCUGUAAAAAAAAACAUUGUUAGUGCAUUGUUGUUUUAGAUUGUUAUCCAGCUACUUAAAUAGGGAUAUUUGUUUAAGGGGAAAAUAUUUCCUAAGCAUAUUUUUUAUGAUCUGCUCCGAUUGUUCACACAAAUGCCACGGACCAACAAAAACAGCUUCAUAGUCAUCACAGAAAGCCUCUUGGUAAAUCAACCAGAGAGAAGGAGCUAUAUUGUGUCAUCAGGGUGCAGGAUAGGGCGCUAGUAAACGUUAGUUCCUCAUGCUUGUCCACCUGAUACUUCUGUCAAAGUGGCACAGGAAUAAAUCCACCACCACCAAAAUAACCUAGCAGAAAUAACUCUUGGCACAUGUCCACUGCCAUUCAUAACAAUAUGUUCUCUGGCCUGCUUGAAGAACAGUUUUGUAAUGGGGAAGAAAUGUUUCAGAUACUUUUAAUAGUAUGAUGAUUGCAUUUAAAUGGCUCCAAAUGGAGCGCUGAUGUAGAUGUUGCAGUGGAUGAACGGUAAAUGGUGUAUUUCGUUGUAAACCAACUAAAUGAACUAAUUAAUUAAUCAAUCAAUAAAAUUAAUAAUGACAGAAAUUAAAAUGGCACUCAUAACAAUUGGUCUGUUUAUCUGUAUGGUAUAAUACAUCACAAUAUUGAUGAUGAAAAUAACCAUAACUAUCAUUCAAAGUUUAACUGGUAUUUUUUGGCAUUUAGCUGUACACUAAAAUCAGCAAACAAAACAUUGAGCUGAUGCAUUGUUUCCUGUGAUUGUGAUUCUCGUGUAAAUACAGGUGCAGCUUCUUUCCUCAGAGAUCUUGUUUACUUCAAAUGUAAAAUUAAACUUGGAAAAUGUUUGGUAAAUUCCACAAUUCAUUUCAUAAUCUAAAAGUCCAUUGAUGCACCCAUCAAAAAUAUAAUUGACUGCUAUUUUUGACUAAAAUUUGAUUUGUAAAGCAGUCUACACAGGAUUUUGAAAGUCCAGUGGUUCUUGACAUUAAAAUAUGAAAGAUUUCACAGAACUUUUCAAAGCAAAACACAAGAACUGAAGUAUAUUGAAUGAAAUGAAUGUAAGAAACAAAUAGGAAACAAAUAUUUGUAAAAUAGAUAUAUGUAUCUAGAAAUAAAUUGAAAAUGCAAAACAGUAACAAGCUUGUUUUCUGGGGUGUCAUAGGUAAAGAAAAAGUUGUGAUAUGAGAUUGAUGUCUAAUGCCAACUUUGCUAUUUUUUUCUGGCAGUGGAGAAAAACGCCCCCUCAGGUCCUGUCACAAGAGAUCGCUCUCACAUUGAAGAGACGCUGCGUCUGGCAACAGCUGAACCUUCACGAGAAUAUGUUGGUGAGUCAUAUAAUCAAAAUGAAAAAAAAAAAAAGGAUUUUAAAUAAGCUUCUCUAGCUCAGCUAUAUGCACAAUAACAGGCCAGUUAUAUCAAGUAUAUCUACAGUCAUAUUAGAUUGACCAAAACAAUUGUCUGUGUGCUCACUGUUUUGGUAAAACCUACAGCACAGAAAGCUAAAUCAUACGCAAUUAAAAUAUUGGAAGUAAUAGUAAAGCUAAAAAAAAAGAAAAAAAAGAUAACAAUGAUGUUAAAAAUUAGCAAAGUCGUUUGCUAGCUAACACAAAUUUUUCAAAAAUGAUAAAUAGGUAACUUAGGCUGAAGUAGCAGAAUUAUUAGUAAACUGUGAAACAACAGAUCCAGAAAAAGAAAGUGUAUUUUUGUAUGUGUUGCAGUGUUGCAUGUACAAAUACUAUAUACAAACUGCAUGUGUACAUGUGUGUGUGUGUGUGGUGUGUGUGUAUAUAUAUAUAUAUAUAUAUAUAUAUAUAUAUAUAUAUAUAUAUAUAUAUAUAUAUAUAUAUAUAUAUAUAUAUAUGUAUGUGUAUAUAUAUAUAUAUAUAUAUAUAUAUUUA